ensembl:snRNA U6 U6 spliceosomal RNA
GUGCUUGCUUCGGCACCACAUAUACUAAAAUCGGAAUGAUACAGAGAAGAUUAGCAUGACCCCUGCGCAAGGAUGACACACAAAUUCAUGAAGCGUUCCAUAUAAAA